CCGCCCAAUGCGCCGCCCACACCUGCUUCGGUGGUGCCGCCUGCAGAAGCGAAGCCACUGACCAGGCCAAGGGACAACAAGAGAAUCGAGGAGAACUUCAUAGAGGAACCUCAAGGGGAUGACGGCGCGAUCCUGAGGCUGUGUCAUGGUUGUGACAAUCGAAAUCCGACGAGUAACACGACUUGAGCACAAUUCUAUAAGUUACUGUUUUUUGGGCGGAACUUAAGUGUUUUUCACCGGUCUUUAACUACUUCGCAAAGGCCGUUUUUAUACAGAAACGGCCUUUUUUGUGGGCGAUUGGAAGUGUUCGAAGGGGUGUCGAUAGGUGUGUUGCCAAAUCGAAUGUCUUCGCGGACAAGCCUCGCUCCUACAAAUUGCGUGUCC
rnacentral:sRNA from 1 species